UACAGAGGGUGCAAGCGUUAAUCGGAAUUACUGGGCGUAAAGCGUGCGUAGACGGUUAUGUAAGUCGGGUGUGAAAGCCCCGGGCUCAACCUGGGAAUGCCAUUCGAGACUGCAUAGCUAGGGUGCGGAAGAGGGAAGCGGAAUUUCCGGUGUAGCGGUGAAAUGCGUAGAUAUCGGAAGGAACACCGGUGGCGAAGGCGGCCCCCUGGACCGGUACUGACGCUGAGGCGCGAAGGCCAGGGGAGCAAACGGG
rnacentral:rRNA from 1 species